rnacentral:rRNA from 1 species
AGAGUUUGAUUAUGGCUCAGGAUGAACGCUGGCGGCGUGCUUAAUACAUGCAAGUCGAACGGAGACCAGCAAUGGUCUUAGUGGCGAACGGGUGAGUAACGCGUUGGUAACCUGCCCCGGAGAGAGGGAUAACAGGCCGAAAGGCUUGCUAAUACCGCAUGAGCAGUAGAGGAAUAGCAGCUUUACUGCAAAGGAGUAAUCCGCUCUGGGAGGGGCCUGCGACCCAUCAGCUAGUUGGUAAGGUAACGGCUUACCCAAGGCGAUGACGGGUAGGGGACCUGAGAGGGUGGCCCCCCACAAUGGAACUGGAACACGGUCCAUACACCUACGGGUGGCAGCAGUAGGGAAUAUUGCAUAAUGGGCGAAAGCCUGAUGCAGCAACGCCGCGUGUGCGAUGAAGGCCUUCGGGUUGUAAAGCACUUUUGAUCGGGAAGAGGAAGGACGGUACCGGUCGAAUAAGCCUCGGCUAACUACGUGCCAGCAGCCGC